rnacentral:rRNA from 1 species
GACGAACGCUGGCGGCGUGCCUAAUACAUGCAAGUAGAACGCUGAAGGAGGAGCUUGCUUCUCUGGAUGAGUUGCGAACGGGUGAGUAACGCGUAGGUAACCUGCCUGGUAGCGGGGGAUAACUAUUGGAAACGAUAGCUAAUACCGCAUAAUAGUAGAUGUUGCAUGACAUUUGCUUAAAAGGUGCAAUUGCAUCACUACCAGAUGGACCUGCGUUGUAUUAGCUAGUUGGUGGGGUAACGGCUCACCAAGGCGACGAUACAUAGCCGACCUGAGAGGGUGAUCGGCCACACUGGGACUGAGGCACGGCCCAGACUCCUACGGGAGGCAGCAGUAGGGAAUCUUCGGCAAUGGACGGAAGUCUGACCGAGCAACGCCGCGUGAGUGAAGAAGGUUUUCGGAUCGUAAAGCUCUGUUGUAAGAGAAGAACGAGUGUGAGAGUGGAAAGUUCACACUGUGACGGUAUCUUACCAGAAAGGGACGGCUAACUACGUG